rnacentral:rRNA from 1 species
UACGUAGGGUGCGAGCGUUGUCCGGAAUUAUUGGGCGUAAAGGGCUCGUAGGCGGUCUGUCGCGUCGAAAGUGAAAACUCAGGGCUUAACCCUGAGCCUGCUUCCGAUACGGGCAGACUAGAGGUAUGCAGGGGAGAACGGAAUUCCUGGUGUAGCGGUGAAAUGCGCAGAUAUCAGGAGGAACACCGAUGGCGAAGGCAGGUCUCUGGGCUGACACUGACGCUCAUGCACGAAAGCGUGGGGAGCAAACAGG